CGGGGGGGGCAAGCGUUGUUCGGAAUUACUGGGCGUAAAGGGCGCGUAGGCGGUUUGGUAAGUUGGAUGUGAAAACUCUGGGCUCAACCCAGAGCCUGCAUCCAAAACUGGCAGGCUAGAGUUCUGGAGGGGGUAGCGGAAUUCCUGGUGUAGCAGUGAAAUGCGUAGAUAUCAGGAGGAACACCGGUGGCGAAGGCGGCUACCUGGACAGAAACUGACGCUGAGGCGCGAAAGCUAGGGGAGCAAACAGGAUUAGAUACCCUGGUAGUCCUAGCCCUAAACGAUGGAUACUUGCUGUGACUGGGAUUGAAUCCAGUCGUGGCGAAGCUAACGCAUUAAGUAUCCCGCCUGGGGAGUACGGUCGCAAGGCUG
rnacentral:rRNA from 1 species